GAAGUGUUUUGUUUGUAAACAAUGAACUCUGUUAAAAAGAGUAAUAAAUAAUAUAUUUUUUGCAAUGAACCUAUGAAGUCAAAACAAUGAAGUUAAUUGAGUGCUAUUAAUCGAUUUAUAUAGGAUGCUGAGACUUGGACUCUGAGAGAAAGAUAUUUGGAAUAUGCCCUAUAACUGCAGACUCCAAUAUUACAAAAAGCACCUGCAAUACAGUAGAAUAACAUAUUGGUGUGCUGAAGAAAAGAUGGCAAAGGCUUUUAGCUGAUAGGACAGUGUACUGAUGACCCUGUUAUCUGGUCAAAUCAUAAAUGUGUGUGUAUUAUCAAAAUAUUUGCAUAGAUUGUGAAAUGCUGAUGAUAUUUGAUUUGGUCUUUGAUAUUUGAAAAUAAAAGAAUACUUACUUCGC
rnacentral:lncRNA from 1 species